rfam:Bacillus cereus ATCC 14579, complete genome.
UCAGGGACAUUUUGUAUUCCUUAUGGGUUUUUGAUAAUAUGUGAACUUUUAUUUUCAUUCAAAUAAGGCCGAUCAUAUUGUAAUUUUUCUACUUUUAGGAGGCAUUACCAUGACAUUAACAGGUAAAGUAAAAUGGUUUAACAGCGAAAAAGGUUUCGGUUUCAUCGAAGUUGCAGACGGUAACGAUGUAUUCGUUCACUUCUCAGCUAUCACUGGCGACGGCUUCAAGUCUCUUGACGAAGGUCAAGAAGUUAGUUUCGAAGUUGAAGAAGGUAACCGCGGACCUCAAGCUAAAAACGUUGUAAAGCUAUAAUUCAAACAAUAAAAAGGUUGUUACCAGCAAGGUUAACAACCUUUUU